CAGUCAGUAGCUCAGUGGUAGAGUGCAUGCUGUGUAUGACGUCCUGUGUUCGAAUCCCAGCUGCUCGG